rnacentral:lncRNA from 1 species
AUGUAAACUACAACAUACACUAUGCCUACUCAAGGUAAUAAUGCAAGUCUACUAUGCAUCUCAUGUUUAUUACCCAAUCUACUUGGUUAACCCGUAGGUUAAACCCUCGACUCACUCUCAAUCUCAUAGGUGAGGAGAAGCUGCACUCGCACACCGAGACCGUCUGCGGGACAACUACGUCUGCCCCUAGUGAAGUACUCUGCAGACUCGUGCCACGGUGGAGCGACCACCGAUAGCGAAAACAGACUAGUAAGUAUGAUCGAAUUCUCUCAAGAGGAUACCCUGUCUACUAGGGUCAAUGUGCCUCUGCUGCACAGUCAUGAUAUAUAAUCAAUGUUGGGACUUCUACUAUCCCUAGGUUCAUAUCACGUUUACUACACUAGACUCGAUGCCACUCGUUCAGUCAUUGUAGUAAAUAUCUCAAUUAUUCUACACACCACUCGUUCAUGUCAUAGUGCUUCUACCACACUAGUUCAAUGCCACUCUACUAGGCUAUGUCCAAGUUCGGCUCUUUAUGCCGCUAUAGGAUUCUAUGUCACAAGACCCAAUCCUCAUGCUAUCCUAGUCCAUGUGUCAAGCACACCUCACUACACUACCAAGAAAGCAUGCAAGCAAAUGGAAAUGUACAACUACUAUUCCUAUAGCGCAAUAUGAUCAACAUAAUUAACA